GGAUGAGCCCGCGGCCUAUCAGCUUGUUGGUGAGGUAAUGGCUUACCAAGGCGACGACGGGUAGCCGGCCUGAGAGGGUGACCGGUCACACUGGGACUGAGACACGGCCCAGACUCCUACGGGAGGCAGCAGUGGGGAAUAUUGCACAAUGGCGAAAGCCUGAUGCAGCGACGCCGCGUGAGGGAUGACGGCCUUCGGGUUGUAAACCUCUUUCAGCAGGGACGAAGCGAGAGUGACGGUACCUGCAGAAGAAGCACCGGCCAACUACGUGCCAGCAGCCGCGGCCG
rnacentral:rRNA from 1 species